CUAAAGUAUAUGAUUUUACAUUUUAUUUACUUUUUUUUUAAUUCCUUAUAGAUUGGGGUUUUAUUCUCGGCGUAUACCAUUUUAUUAUAUUCAACUUAUGUAUUUUUACUUCUUUCAUACAUUUAUAUAGCACGUUUGUGUGUUCGUAUAUGGUUUACUCGCUUUUUUUUGGCUUUUUCUUUUACUUUUUUAAAUUCACCUAAAUAUACAUAAAAAAAAAAAAUAAAAUAAAAUAAUAAACUCAAUCAAUAAGGACAUAAAACAAAAUAAAAUUCGAGAAACUGAUAAUAAUAAUAAUAAUAAUAAUAAUAAAAGUAAUAAUAAUAAUAAUAAAAGUAAUAAUAAUAAUAAUAAAAGUAAUAAUAAUAAUAAAAGUAAUACUAUUGUAAACUUAAGUAAAUAAAAUACAAAAUAUAAUAAAAUAUAAAUAGUGGUAAUGAUCCUAGUAUAUAUUUAGGCGUUAAAGAAAACCAUCCCAAACUAUUAUUUUUAUACUGAUUAUUUACAUAAUAAAAAUUUUUAAAACAUGAGUAAUAUUUAUAGAAAUAAUGAUGAAUCUAAUGAUAUUGAUAUUUUUGGAUUUGAGGCGAACGGUUCUCUUAAUGAAAACUUACAAACUAUAGACUUAAGUUAUAUACAAGGAAUGAAACAGAAUAACAAUAGAAAUGGUAACAUUCAAAACGUAAAAAACAGUUACAACAACAACUACAACAACAGUUACAAUAAUAAUAUAUAUAUGCCCAAUGCAACUAAAAAUACAAAUUUACCUGAUGCAGCUCAUAAUAACAUGGCAGAAAAUCAUUCAUAUAACACGACAUGCAUAAAUAAUAACUUAUCCACCAAUAUGGGACCGCAUCAGGAAUUUAACAACAUAAAUAUUACAUCCAAUACAUCAAACCCUACCAACAUAUUUUUCGAUAACGAGUUAAAUAUAAAUGGUAAACAUAUGCCUAGUGGUAAAAUGGGUACCACCGAAUUUAAACCAAACGCAAAUGAAAAUAAUUAUAUCCACGAUAUUAAAAAUGAUAAUAACGAUAACAAUAAUAAUAACAAUAAUAAUAAUAAUAACAAUAACAAUAACAAUACGUUUGAUGUUUUUCCUUUUUUUAAAAAAUUAUAUAAUGUUAGAACAAACCUAUUGAGUUAUUAUGACAUAGAUAGUGAUUUAGUUCUAUGUAAGUGUAUGCUUGCACUUUUUCCUUUUUUACAUAAAGAUAAAUCAUAUGAGCAAAUUGUUAAUUAUAAUGACAUAGAAAAAAAUAUGCAAGAAAUGGUUAGUGAAAAAAGUAGUAACACAUAUGAUAACAAUAAAAAUCUCCAACAAAAUGAGAACGUUGAUUCCAUAAAUGAAAAAAAUAUUACUACUAUGAGUUCUGUUUAUUACAAUAAUGGUAAUUAUACUAUGAAUAAUAAUAAUAGUAAAAAUCGUUAUAACAAUAUAGACUUUAUAGAAAAUUCAGAUAUGUAUGCUUUUGUAUGGAUAAACUUGUUCAUUUGUUAUGUUUUGUUUUUUCUUUUUAAUUUAAGAAAUACUUUUUUUAAUAAUAUUUUAGAUCCUAAUAACGUAAAUAAAGACGAACAGUCAGAAGACAUAGAAAUUAAUAAAUAUGUAAGUUUUAACCGUUUGGAUAUUCUAUAUAAUAUUAUAUUCAUUAUAUAUUCUUUUAAUAUAUUUCUACCUAUUGGUUCAUUUAUAAUUGUUUAUGUAUUCACCAGAAAGGUAUACCCCAUUAAAUUAACAGUUAUGAUUUCUUUAAUAAGUUAUAAUAAUGUAUUAUUAAUACCUGUUAUCCUUAUUUAUAAAUUUACAUACUUAAAAAAUCGACCACAACCUAUCGUAACCUUUUUCUUAAUUGUUCGUUUUAUAACAUUUAUUACAUAUAUUAUUACAACCUUAUGUUAUAUUUAUAUACAUACUUCCAAAAUUCUUUUGAAUCAUUUAUCGAAAAAAAUCAUCUUUUUAAAUUUUUUGUUUUUUUUUAUAUCCUACUUUUUUUAUUACUUAAUAGUAAAACUUCACGUGAUUAACUAUUUUUAAAACUAGUGCUUAGUAAUGUGCUCGUUCAAAGGGGCCACGCGUAUGUACACACAUGUACGCAUUUGUGCGCAUGUACAUAUAUGUUCUAUUUUUUUUACUUAUUUAUUUAUUUAUUUAUUUUACUUAUUUACUUAUUUACUUAUUUAUUUAUUUUACUACGUGUUUUGCUGCACACUCUAACCAUUUAUAUACUAUCUGCUUACCACUCUACUAUGUUAC
rnacentral:lncRNA from 1 species